rnacentral:rRNA from 1 species
AGUGAACGCUGGCGGUAGGCCUAACACAUGCCAGUCGAACGGCAGCACAGUAAGAGCUUGCUCUUACGGGUGGCGAGUGGCGGACGGGUGAGGCAUACAUCGGAAUCUACUUUUUCGUGGGGGAUAACGUAGGGAAACUUACGCUAAUACCGCAUACGACCUACGGGUGAAAGCAGUGGAUCUUCGGACCUUGCGCGAUUGAAUGAGCCGAUGUCGGAUUAGCUAGUUGGCGGGGUAAAGGCCCACCAAGGCGACGAUCCGUAGCUGGUCUGAGAGGAUGAUCAGCCACACUGGAACUGAGACACGGUCCAGACUCCUACGGGAGGCAGCAGUGGGGAAUAUUGGACAAUGGGCGCAAGCCUGAUCCAGCCAUACCGCGUGGGUGAAGAAGGCCUUCGGGUUGUAAAGCCCUUUUGUUGGGAAAGAAAAGCAGCAGGUUAAUACCCCGCUGUUCUGACGGUACCCAAAGAAUAAGCACCGGCUAACUUCGUG